rnacentral:rRNA from 1 species
CUAGGCCAAUUCUGGGGGGAAACACGCCGCGUGAGUGAAGAAGGGUUUCGGCUCGUAAAGCUCUGUUGGUAGUGAAGAAAGAUAGAGGCAGUAACUGGCCUUUAUUUGACGGUAAUUACCUAGAAAGUCACGGCUAACUACGUGCCAGCAGCCGCGGUAAUACGUAGGUGGCAAGCGUUGUCCGGAUUUAUUGGGCGUAAAGCGAGUGCAGGCGGUUCAAUAAGUCUGAUGUGAAAGCCUUCGGCUCAACCGGAGAAUUGCAUCAGAAACUGUUGAACUUGAGUGCAGAAGAGGAGAGUGGAACUCCAUGUGUAGCGGUGAAAUA